rnacentral:rRNA from 1 species
AACGAACGCUGGCGGCAUGCCUAACACAUGCAGGUCGAACGAGACCUUCGGGUCUAGUGGCGCACGGGUGCGUAACGCGUGGGAACCUGCCCUUAGGUUCGGAAUAACUCCCCGAAAGGGGUGCUAAUACCGGAUAAUGUCUUCGGACCAAAGAUUUAUCGCCUUUGGAUGGGCCCGCGUUGGAUUAGCUAGUUGGUAGGGUAAAAGCCUACCAAGGCGACGAUCCAUAGCUGGUCUGAGAGGAUGAUCAGCCACACUGGGACUGAGACACGGCCCAGACUACGAGGGGGAGGCGGCGAGGGAAAUAAGGCAGAGCGAAAGAAAGCACUAUCCAGAAGCGAUGCUGUAGUUAAGAAGGACUUAGUGUUGAAGAACUAUCAUACGCGGAAAAAUAAUGACGGAACGGGGAAAAUUAGCCCAUGUAACCGCGGAGCGAACAGCAGAAGUAAUAAGAGGAGGGGCAGACGACACACC